CCGAUUGGACGCGGCGAAGGCAGGUAGCUCUUUUCCAGUCCUCAAACUAAAAAGAGAACUUAUAGUCUCGCCGUCCGCAUCGGUCGCAAGGUCGAGGAAAAUUGACCACGUACCGCGCCUGCUCGGCCUUCGGGCCUAGGGCUGGAGCCGCCGGACUCCCGCUCGUGCGGCGUACGGGGACUGUCCUCAGUGCCCGCUCGCUCGUGCGGUCGAGAAAGGCCGGAUCGCCUCUCAGGCGCACGGGGUCUGCCGACUUAGCUGGGCGCCUUUUCGACCCGUCUUGAAACACGGACCAAGAAGUCUAACGGACCUGCAAGUCGAAGGGCCGUACAGUGAAGCCCCGAGGCGCAAUGAAAGUAAAGGAUGGUGUAGGCCGUCCUAGGUGGGAUCCUUGUCCUCUGGGCGAGGCGCACCACCGCCCCGUCUCGUCCGCAUUGCUCGGUGAGGCGGAGGAAGAGCAGGUACGCUAGGACCCGAAAGAUGGUGAACUAUGCCCGAGCAGGAUG
rnacentral:rRNA from 2 species